GAUGAACGCUGGCGGCGUGCUUAAUACGUGCAAGUCGAACGAAGCACCUUGGACAGAAUCCUUCGGGAAGCGUUGAAUGAGUUUAGUGGCGGACGGGUGAGUAACGCGUGAGCAAUUACCUUUGUGAGUGGAAUAACACCCGGAAACAGGUGCUAAUACCGCAUAACGUAUCGAUGUCGCAUGGCAAUGAUACCAAAGAGAAAUCGCACAAAGAUGAGCUCGCGUCCGAUUAGAUAGUUGGUGAGGUAACGGCCCACCAAGUCGACGAUCGGUAGCCGGACUGAGAGGUUGAACGGCCACAUUGGAACUGAGAAACGGUCCAGACUCCUACGGGAGGCAGCAGUGGGGAAUAUUGGGCAAUGGGCGAAAGCCUGACCCAGCGACGCCGCGUGAGGGAAGAAGGUCUUCGGAUUGUAAACCUUAGUUAGCAGGGAAGAAGAAAGUGACGGUACCUGCAGAGAAAGCCACGGCUAACUACGUG
rnacentral:rRNA from 1 species